rnacentral:lncRNA from 1 species
AAUUGAUAUACAAAAAGUAAUGUCCUGUCAAAAUAUGGAACAAGUUAACAAACUAAAGACUUGGAUUAAGAAUAUUACAAGUAAAUUUUAUUCAGAACUACUGGAAAAUAAAAUAAAUAGUUUGAACGAAAAUAACAAACUUUUACUUUACAAAAAUAUUAAAGUCAAACAAGACCAAGAAUUUUAUCUUAAAUAUCACAAUUUUGAAACUAGACGUUUAUUUACAAAAAUUAAAAUUAGUGACCAUAAUUUGCUCAUUGAGAAGGGCAGAUAUCUAAAAAUACCUCGAGACAAUAGAACAUGUCCAACUUGUAAAACC